rnacentral:misc_RNA from 1 species
UUGUGGAGGAGGACGCCGAAGGUGGGGCUAAUGACUGGGGUGAAGUCGUAACAAGGUAGCCGUACCGGAAGGUGCGGCUGGAUCACCUCCUAACAGGGAGACAACAAAAUGUUUAAUAUUAUUAUUUUGUCACCUUAGGUCGAUCGGUAUCUCACGUUCUUAAUUUGUUAAGAAUUUCAUUUCCUAAGUUUUUCUAGGUCACACCCAUUAUUUUCCCUGGGCCAUUAGCUCAGGUGGUUAGAGCGCACCCCUGAUAAGGGUGAGGUCCCUGGUUCAAGUCCAGGAUGGCCCAUAUCUCUAUGUUGGGGGUAUAGCUCAGUUGGUAGAGCGCCUGCUUUGCAAGCAGGAUGUCAGCGGUUCGAGUCCGCUUACCUCCACUGAUUACCACCUCUUCCAUAGUCUUUAGAAAGGAAAUGUUUUGAGUUGUGAUCAUUAUUCUGAACGAAUCUAGCUUCCUAAUGAAAUCAUUAAGAUGCUGGACUCAUUGAAUUAAUUUCAUUGUUUUCAGAGAACCUUGACAACUGCAUAGAUUAUUUUUAAAGACAAUAGGCAUCUUUAAUGAUGCAGAUUUAUUAUUUGUGCUAAUGCACUAAUAACAAUUCUAUUAAGCUGAUGCUUCAAUUUUUGAAGUUAUUGGUCAAGCUACAA